AAAAUGGCAGGCUAAGAAUGUUCAGGGGAGAGUGUGUGUGUGUGUGUGUGUGUGGAUGCUCUGGGGGUUGGAGAUAACUGCUAUUAGCCACAAGGUUUAGAAAACGUCCGGAUCCUCUGAAAGUGACGGCGUUAACAGACGGGUUAACAUGAGUUGGUCCUCCCUUUCUUUAAAUUACUGCAGCGUGAUUGUAUAGAAUUAUAUAUUAUUAUUGGUGUCAAGGCGGUACACAUCUAAUGGAUAACAAAGGUAACUGGCAGUCAGAAACUGGUCCCGGGUGUCUGUGCCCUAGAUAUAUAGAUAUAGAUAGAUAUCGGCCUUGCUUAUCGUCUUUGUCUGGUACCUCGCUUAAUGUAUACAACACGACACCAUCACACCACUGGUCAGGAAAUGCAGAAACGGUGUAAAUGCUCAAAGCGCUUUUGCUGUAAGCGUCCUGCAUAGCACCACCUUUAUCCGAGCUCGUGGCCUUUGGGUCUUUCUCCUCACAGAACUGGUGUCUCACGAUCCACCACUUAACGAAGAACGUUAUAGAAACGCUGGUUUGAAGCCUUCAGGGGGAACAUCACCGAAGCGUGUUGUGUGUGAGUGAAGCUGAAGCCAAGUGGAACGGGACCAGACUUUUCUGACUCUAAAUGACUUCAGGGUGUGGCAGCAGGGAGUGAACCACACAGAGUGCAACUCCACUUCCAACACGACUACACAACGGCUGGUGUCUACGUGUGAAUCGUUAAAACGUUCAGUUUUCAGCCUAAACAAACAUUAUGUCUUAAAUGCGACACUAACUAUGUUUUUAGUUUGAGCGUGUAUACACUUCAUGCAUACCUUCUGAAUUGUGACAAUAUUCGCCGUGUUGCCUAAACAGCCCCGCCCUUUGAAAGGAAAGCAGAUACAAUCCGACGUUCUCGCUGAACUCACUCCCAAGUGUUGCUUUGGUUCCCCCAAAUAUACCUCAAACCUGGUUUCAAUUAGCGUGUCUUUCCAAACCACUACAUUCCAAUACCCCAACCUCCCCUCCCCCUCCUCCACAUCCCCCUCAAACUCACUGCUGCCUCUCUCUCUCUCUCUCUCUCUCUCUCUCUCUCUCUCUCUCUCUCUCUCUCUCUCUCUCUCUCUC
ensembl:lncRNA